rnacentral:SRP_RNA from 1 species
UGUUGGGCCUCGCGUAACGCGGUCUUGUGAACCCCGUCAGGUCCGGAAGGAAGCAGCGGUAGCAAUUACCCGCGUGUACCGCGAGUUUCCCCAGCAUCU